CCUACGGGGGGCUGCAGUGGGGAAUAUUGGGCAAUGGGCGCAAGCCUGACCCAGCAACGCCGCGUGAAGGAAGAAGGCUUUCGGGUUGUAACCUUCUUUUAAGAGGGAAGAGCCGAAGACGGUACCUCUUGAAUAAGCCACGGCUAACUACGUGCCAGCAGCCGCGGUAAUACGGAGGAUCCGAGCGUUAUCCGGAUUUAUUGGGUUAAAAGGGUGCGUAGGCGGUUCGUUAAGUCAGUGGUAAAAUUGAGGGGCUCAACCCCUUCCCGCCAUUGAAACUGGCGUUCUUGAGUGGAAGAGAAGUAUGCGGAAUGCGUGGUGUAGCGGUGAAAUGCAUAGAUAUCACGCAGAACCCCGAUUGCGAAGGCAGCAUGCCGGCUUCCGACUGACGCUGAAGCACGAAAGCGUGGGGAUCGAACAGGAUUAGAUUCCCCGGUAGUC
rnacentral:rRNA from 1 species